rnacentral:rRNA from 1 species
UGCAAGUCGAACGGUAGCGCGGGGGCAACCCUGGCGACGAGUGGCGAACGGGUGAGUAAUACAUCGGAACAUAUCCAGUAGCGGGGGAUAACCUAUCGAAAGAUGGACUAAUACCGCAUACGAUCUACGGAUGAAAGCAGGGGACCGCAAGGCCUUGCACUAUUGGAGUGGCCGAUGUCGGAUUAGCUAGUUGGUGGGGUAAAAGCUUACCAAGGCGACGAUCCGUAGCUGGUCUGAGAGGACGAUCAGCCACACUGGAACUGAGACACGGUCCAGACUCCUACGGGAGGCAGCAGUGGGGAAUUUUGGACAAUGGGCGCAAGCCUGAUCCAGCCAUGCCGCGUGAGUGAAGAAGGCCUUCGGGUUGUAAAGCUCUUUCGGUGAAGACGAAACGGUUAGCGCUAAUAACGCUGACUAAUGACGGUACUCACAGAAGAAGCACCGGCUAACUACGUGCCAGCAGCCGCGGUAAUACGUAGGGUGCAGGCGUUAAUCGGAAUUACUGGGCGUAAAGCGUGCGCAGGCGGUUUGCUAAGACAGGUGUGAAAUCCCCGAGCUUAACUUGGGAAUUGCGCUUGUAACUGGCAGGCUAGAGUGUAGCAGAGGGGGGUGGAAUUCCACGUGUAGCAGUGAAAUGCGUAGAUAUGUGGAGGAACACCGAUGGCGAAGGCAGCCCCCUGGGUUAACACUGACGCUCAUGCACGAAAGCGUGGGGAGCAAACAGGAUUAGAUACCCUGGUAGUCCACGCCCUAAACUAUGUCAACUAGUUGUCGGGGAAGAAAUUCCUUGGUAACGAAGCUAACGCGUGAAGUUGACCGCCUGGAGAGUACGGCCGCAAGGUUAAAACUCAAAGGAAUUGACGGGGACCCGCACAAGCGGUGGAUUAUGUGGAUUAAUUCGAUGC